AACACAUGCAAGUCGAACGAACCCUUCGGGGUGAGUGGCGCACGGGUGCGUAACACGUGGGAAUAUGCCCUUAGGUAAGGAACAACGUCUGGAAACGGGCGCUAAUACCUUAUAAUGACUCCGGUCCAAAGAUUUAUCGCCUAAGGAUUAGCCCGCGCUAGAUUGGAUAGUUGGUGAGGUAAUGGCUCACCAAGUCUACGAUCUAUAGGGGGUCUGAGAGGAUGAUCCCCCACACUGGGACUGAGACACGGCCCAGACUCCUACGGGAGGCAGCAGUGAGGAAUAUUGGACAAUGGGGGAAACCCUGAUCCAGCCAUGCCGCGUGAGUGAAGAAGGCCUUCGCGUUGUAAAGCUCUUUCAGAUGCGAAGAUAAUGACGGUAACAUCAGAAGAAGCCCCGGCUAAAUUCGUGCCAGCAGCCGCGGUAAUACGAAUGGGGCAAGCGUUGUUCGGAAUCACUGGGCUUAAAGCGUACGUAGGCGGACAUGAAAGUCAGAAGUGAAAUCCCGGGGCUC
rnacentral:rRNA from 1 species